AACGAACGCUGGCGGCAUGCCUAACACAUGCAAGUCGAACGAUCCCUUCGGGGAUAGUGGCGCACGGGUGCGUAACGCGUGGGAACCUGCCCUUAGGUUCGGAAUAACUCAGAGAAAUUUGAGCUAAUACCGGAUAAUGUUUUCGGACCAAAGAUUUAUCGCCUUUGGAUGGGCCCGCGUUGGAUUAGCUAGUUGGUGGGGUAAAGGCCUACCAAGGCGACGAUCCAUAGCUGGUCUGAGAGGAUGAUCAGCCACACUGGGACUGAGACACGGCCCAGACUCCUACGGGAGGCAGCAGUGGGGAAUAUUGUACAAUGGGCGAAAGCCUGAUCCAGCAAUGCCGCGUGAGUGAUGAAGGCCUUAGGGUUGUAAAGCUCUUUUACCCGGGAUGAUAAUGACAGUACCGGGAGAAUAAGCCCCGGCUAACUCCGUG
rnacentral:rRNA from 1 species